rnacentral:rRNA from 1 species
CACGUAGGGGGCGAGCGUUGUCCGGAUUUAUUGGGCGUAAAGAGCUCGUAGGCGGCUCAGUAAGUCAGGUGUGAAAACUCCAGGCUCAACCUGGAGACGCCACCUGAUACUGCUGUGGCUAGAGUCCGGUAGGGGAGCAUGGAAUUCCUGGUGUAGCGGUGAAAUGCGCAGAUAUCAGGAGGAACACCAAUUGCGAAGGCAGCUCGCUGGGACGUAACUGACGCUGAGACGCGAAAGCGUGGGGAGCGAACAGG